CGGGGGUGUGAGCCCUAGACUGGAGGGAGGAGGAGGGAGAAGCUGCUCAAAUGGGGAAAGAAAGAAAAGAAAAGAAAGAAAGAAAGAAAGAAAGAAAGAAGCUCUAUUUUCCAACCACAGGGAUACCUUCCUUGCCUCAAACUAACUCUUAAUCCGUUAAAAAAAAGCACAAUAUUAUCCAGUGUUGUUCAUACACAACCAAGGAAGAAGAAACAAAACCAUGCAGAGCAGUCUCACAAAUGCUUCCUUCUCUUUUCUCUGGCACUUUGGCAUGUGCCUCCAGCCAUGGGGCCUCUGACUCACACAUUCCACUCAGGUUUUUGGUCAUGUGCCUGACUUGCGGGUGGUCUUAAGGUCUUGAAGACAGAACUUCAUUUUCUCUGUGAAGUUCCUGCAUUGCUACUAGUUGUGUGUGCGUGCGUGUGUGUGUGCAUGUGUAUGUGUGUGUUUUGGGGAUGGGGUUGGGAAGAGGGAGGAGAAGGUUCAGUAUGAGACAAGAGGCACUGACAGGGAAGAAAUUGGGAAAUAAAUUAUGAUUGAUUUCUAUUUGGGAAGAAAAAGUAUUCAGAGAGACAAUCCUUUCCCAGAUCGUUCCAAGUCUUGGUCGUCUCAUCAGUCAUCUCCUCAUCAAUCCCAUGUCCUCAGAGGGGCCAGCUCUGCCCUCCAAAAGUCAGCUGAUGGUCACCUGUUCACCCCAUCUGAUUCUUGGGACUACAUUUGUAUUCCCUUUAUAACUCUU
rnacentral:lncRNA from 10 species